CAAGUACUCCCUCCAUCCGGAAUUACUUGUCAUCAAAAUGGAUGUGUCUAGAACUAAAAUACAUCUAGAUACAUCCAUUUCAAUGACAAGUAUUUCCGGACGGAGGGAGUACAAG
rnacentral:pre_miRNA from 1 species